rnacentral:rRNA from 1 species
UACGUAGGGGGCAAGCGUUGUCCGGAAUCAUUGGGCGUAAAGCGCGUGUAGGCGGUCCGGUAAGUCCGCUGUAAAAGUCGGGGGCUCAACCCUCGGAUGCCGGUGGAUACUGUCGGGCUUGAGUACGGAAGAGGCGAGUGGAAUUCCUGGUGUAGCGGUGAAAUGCGCAGAUAUCAGGAGGAACACCAAUUGCGAAGGCAGCUCGCUGGGACGUUACUGACGCUGAGACGCGAAAGCGUGGGGAGCAAACAGG